CCUACGGGAGGCUGCAGUGGGGAAUAUUGCACAAUGGGCGAAAGCCUGAUGCAGCAACGCCGCGUGAGCGAUGAAGGCCUUCGGGUCGUAAAGCUCUGUCCUCAAGGAAGAUAAUGACGGUACUUGACGAGGCAGCCUCGGCUAACUACGUGCCAGCAGCCGCGGUAAUACGUAGGGGGCUAGCGUUAUCCGGAAUUACUGGGCGUAAGGGGUGCGUAGGUGGUUUCUUAAGUCAGAGGUGAAAGGCUACGGCUAAACCGUAGUAAGCCUUUGAAACUGGGAAACUUGAGUGCAGGAGAGGAGAGUGGAAUUCCUAGUGUAGCGGUGGAAUGCGUAGAUAUUAGGAGGAACACCAGUUGCGAAGGCGGCUCUCUGGACUGUAACUGACACUGAGGCACGAAAGCAUGGGGAGCAAACAGGAUUAGAUACCCCAGUAGUC
rnacentral:rRNA from 1 species